AUACAAAUAGCUUUCAGGUGCGAGGUUCCGGUUGGGCAAAGUGGGCGUGGUAUAUAAGAAGCCGCUGCGCCCAAUCGGACACACAUGUCUUCCUCAAGCUUGGCUGUGACUCGCGUCUCAGGGACUGACAGUCAAAAGGCAUAACAGCAGGUGCAUGCUGCUCUGAUCUUGUGGUGGCAAAACGCUACUGUGCGGCUCUCCUCCUCGUCGUCGGUUUGUGUGUGUGCGCGCGUACCUGAGUUUGUCUGGAUUGGGAGGUCUCCCCAUAUUACCAUUGCUGCUCUGUUGAUAUCCCGGAUUCUGCGCAUCAUCAACCUCGGAUUGUGGUGGCGGCUACACGCCCUAAUUGAAGUGGUGUUUGGCGUGCGCAUUGGCUUGCGGCACCGGCGCGCUCAAUUCACCUCCUGUUGCGGCGUGGCCAGAGGGUCGCACCAGAUUCGGACAUUUUAAUUUGUUUUUCUUUAUUUUUGUUUCAGCCUUUUUGGUUUGAUAUAACUAUUUAUACAGUUAGGCUGAUAUUGUUUUCUUUUUGUUGUAUAUUUUGGAUUGUUGUCUUAAUUGUUUUUUUCUCUCUGUUGGCAGUGCUGAGGCCCGGCGGCGGUGUUGGUGUGGUGACGGUGUCUUCUUUUUUUGUGUGUGCCGUGAUUCCUGAGUUUGGGUUGUCUCACUGCGUCUGGUGCUUUACAGGGGUUUUGUUUGCUGUGUUUGGGUGGAUACCGUCCUAUAGUGGCCCCCUUCCGCCGGUAACCUCAGCUACUGUAGUUACUUUUCUUUUUUUCCCCUUUAGUGUUAUAAAGAAUUGGUUUUAAAAAGAAUAUUUUAAGAAGCAUCUAAUAAAAAGCUGUUUGUACAUUUUAAAAUUGUCUCAGAUGUCUUAAUCCACGCAUGAGCGAACUUGUGUGUCCUAUCAAAAAGGGGAGUAAUAUUCCUUGGGUGAAAUUCCCAAGGUGGCGCUGUGAAGCAAUUUUAUUUGGGUUCAGAAAUUUAAAUUUCCCGAUUUCAACCUAGUCUCGCCACAUUAUUUUGAUUCAUAAUUAACUUGAACAUUGAUUAAAAUAUUUGACAUUCGAUGUUAUGUAAUGUAAGGUUUAUUGCUCGUUUCAUAACCGGUUAGUGUUUUACGUUUUUAUUAUAUAAAGCUCUUGAAAUGCCUUG